UUUAGGCUAAACGGCACAACCUAAGCCCAUCUAUAGCCUAAAAGAUAUUCGAUCGGGGUACAGCCCUAUCGAACAAGGAUACAACCUAAGCUAGCGGACAAGCACUGAACUCACCCCCAGUAGGCCUUAAAGCCGCCACCGGCAGACAAAGCGUCAUAGCAUAACACUAUAGAUACGAAUAACUCAGCCAAACCCCUAGCAAACUACUGAGCCAAACUAUAUUAAUAGAAGCAUUUAUGCUAAAACUAGUAACAAGAACACCUCUCUCCGCACCCCUGUGCCCCAGAAAUAGAAAACCUACUGGACACUAACAGACCAAAACAGGGACAACACAAACUGUCAAACCAACACUGGUGUGCCCAAAAGAAGGUUAAAAGUCACAUAAGGAACUCAGCAACACCUGCCCCAACUGUUUACCAAAAACAUAGCCUUUAGCUAAACAAGUAUUAAAGGUGCUGCCUGCCCAGUGAAGCACAUUUUAACGGCCGCGGUAUCCUAACCGUGCAAAGGUAGCGUAAUCACUUGUCUUUUAAAUAAAGACUUGUAUGAACGGCUAAAUGAGGGCAGACCUGUCUCUUGUGACUAACCAGUGAAACUGAUCUUUAAGUACAAAAGCUUAAAUAAAUACAUAAGACGAGAAGACCCGUGGAGCUUAAAACAACACUAUUAUACUCAAAAUAGCAUAGUUUUAAGUUGGGGCGACUUCGGAAUAAAAUAAAACUUCCGAGCACAGAGACAAGCCCUCUCCAUUAGACCAACAAGUCAAAGAAACACUGACCCAGUCACACUGAACAACGAACCAAGUUACCCCAGGGAUAACAGCGCCAUCUUCUUCAAGAGUUCCUAUCGACAAGAAGGCUUACGACCUCGAUGUUGGAUCAGGACACCCAAAUGGUGCAACAGCUAUUAAAGGUUCGUUUGUU
rnacentral:rRNA from 1 species